AACGCGAAGAACCUUACCUACUUUUGAAUCCACGGAAUCUUGCAGAGAUGUGAGAGUGCCUUCGGGAACCGUGAGACAGGUGCUGCGUGGCUGUCGUCAGCUCGUGUCGUGAGAUGUUGGGUUAAGUCCCGUAACGAGCGCAACCCUUAUCCUUAGUUACCAGCGAGUUAUGUCGGGGACUUUAAGGAGACUGCCGGUGAUAAACCGGAGGAAGGCGGGGAUGACGUCAAGUCCUCAUGGCCCUUACAAGUAGGGCUACACACGUGCUACAAUGGCCGGUACAGAGGGUCGCCAACCCGCGAGGGGGAGCUAAUCUCAAAAAGCCGGUCGUAGUCCGGAUUGGAGUCUGCAACUCGACUCCAUGAAGUUGGAAUCGCUAGUAAUCGCGGAUCAGCACGCCGCGGUGAAUACGUUCCCGGGCCUUGUACACACCGGUACUA
rnacentral:rRNA from 1 species